GACGAACGCUGGCGGCGUGCCUAAUACAUGCAAGUCGAGCGAAUCGAUGGGAGAUUGCUCCCUGAGAUUAGCGGCGGACGGGUGAGUAACACGCGGGUAACCUGCCUGUAAGACUGGGAUAACUUCGGGAAACCGGAGCUAAUACCGGAUACUUUCUUUUCUCGCAUGAGGGCAGAUGGAAAGAUGGUUCUGCUAACACUUACAGAUGGACCCGCGGCGCAUUAGCUAGUUGGUGAGGUAACGGCUAACCAAGGCAACGAUGCGUAGCCGACCUGAGAGGGUGAUCGGCCACACUGGGACUGAGACACGGCCCAGGCUCCUACGGGAGGCAGCAGUAGGGAAUCUUCCGCAAUGGACGAAAGUCUGACGGAGCAACGCCGCGUGAGCGAAGAAGGCCUUCGGGUCGUAAAGCUCUGUUGUUAGGGAAGAACAAGUACGAGAGUAACUGCUCGUACCUUGACGGUACCUAACCAGAAAGCCACGGCUAACUACGUGCCAGCCGCCGCCGUAAGAC
rnacentral:rRNA from 1 species